UUUGGUGGUCAUAGCGCAAGCAAAACACCCGGUCCCAUCCCGAACCCGGAAGUUAAGUGCUGCCGCGCCAAUGGUACUUGGGCUUAAGCCCCGGGAGAGUAGGUCACCGCCAAAC
rfam:Ruegeria meonggei strain CECT 8411 genome assembly, contig: 0022